rnacentral:rRNA from 1 species
UACGGGGGGAGCAAGCGUUGUUCGGAUUUACUGGGCGUAAAGGGCGCGUAGGCGGCCAGCACAAGUCAGUUGUGAAAUCUCCGAGCUUAACUCGGAACGGUCAACUGAUACUGUGCGGCUAGAGUGCGGAAGGGGCAACUGGAAUUCUUGGUGUAGCGGUGAAAUGCGUAGAUAUCAAGAGGAACACCUGCGGCGAAGGCGGGUUGCUGGGCUGACACUGACGCUGAGGCGCGAAAGCUAGGGGAGCGAACGGG